CGGGUUAUAACUUCCCGAACCCGUUAAAGUAACUAGGAGUAACUAACCUAGUUAGUAGCAUGUGAUUAAGUAACUAAUGGUGAGAUAUAGCUUUAUUUGAUCAAAAUAAAGCAUGAGGGACUAAAAUGGACAAGUGGGAAACUUGUUUUAUUAAAAACAAAAAAAAAAUACACACACACAUUGUGUGCGUGUUUUGAUCGACCAGGAGGGUGCUCCAAGGAGCAAAACCCUAGUUCACACCAAAUGACCAAAUUGAAGCUCGAAUCAAGACUUAAAUCAAUGCAUGAACACAAAUUCGUAAUCACCUAAGUGUGGGGAUCGAAAGUUUGUCGCCUAACGAGCUAGGUGGAGGCUUGAGAAAGAAGCGGUCAAACGAAUCAAGCACGAGAAGAAAAAGCGUAUUCGGAUGCGAGGUAAGUAUAGCUUACACUAGUCUUAGAUUGUGUAAUAUUCUCUUAGCGUAUAAAUAACGAAUGAGAUAACUAAACAAUUGAAAUACGAUGUUCCGUCGUGUAGGCGUACGGAACUAGAUAAUCAAAGAUGAAAGAAACCAUAAUAAUGGUAAAAAAGGAAGUAAAUCGAUAAUUCGGUCAUAUUAUGACGAAAGUGGUAAUAAACGGUUUAUAAGUAAAAUGAUCGUACGGUGUUAAACGGAGCGGGUCAUGUAGAUGAGAUGAUAAUAAAUAUCAUCUCGCAAAGAUAAACGGUCAAUUCGGCCAAACGGGUCAAAAGGUGUAGACAUCACCUUUUGACAAUAUUGACUAAUGAUCUUUUGUCGAGUUAUAUGCUUACAGGAAUAGAAAUCCAAUGGAUACUCGCAUCGCUCUUAUUUAGCGAUUAUAAAGCAAGGUAUUAAAACCGGGUUAAUAAAUUGAUCCGAGCCAGGUAUGUAUAAUAGAUCAACUCAUCAUUUAGAACUUGAAGUUCUAUGAGAGUUAGGCAAAGUAAAAGGGACAUUCGGUUAUCUUAAAAGGUAAACCGAAGGAUUUAGAUUAUAGACAGAGUGUUUUGAAAACAAGAUUUGGUAAAAAAAUGAGAUUUUGGGCAUGCAUGACUUACGCAAGCCCUUCGUUGUAAAAGAAGGGUUAAAAACGACCAAAACGCCCUCGUAAGCGAAAUUAAGCAAACAACCCUUAGAAGUCGCUUGAAAACGAGUUUUAUAAUCAAGUUAAUACUUAGAAUAAGUAUAAAAGUGAAAGAUGUAAAUUCUUGGUCAAAAGACUCUAUAUGAGUCUUUGUCGUAAAAUAAUAAUCCGAGGGGUAAAACUCGGAUUAUAUAGAUCGCCACAUUUAAUCCAUCACAAAUAUAGUUGUGAUGGAAGAUCAUUGAUAAAUAAUGUGGAAAUAAGAUGCUAGGAAUAAUCGAGUGUGAAUUAUGCGUAAAAGUGCUUAAAUGCCCUUAACGGGUCAAUUAAACAUCUAAGUAAAAACGGGUUUAAGAAUGUAUAUAAACCCGUGAUUUGAAUCUAAUAUGAUAACAACAUGGAAAUGAUGAGAAUUUAGAAUCAAACAACAUGUUUGUUUGAUAAAAUCACGAACGGGUCAAAGUUUGGUAAAAAAGGUAUUAAGCCGAAAACUUAAAAGACUUAGAUUUUGUUAAUCCGGAUGUUGGAUUUUAACCCCAUAUGAUGGAGAAUCAAAUUACAAACACGUAGGAAGAAACGGUAGGCCAAACGGAAAAGCGGAUUAAAAGUUAUAAAGGUUUCCGUUUUAGAAAACGGCAAACUUGGAAAAUCCCGCAGAGGCCACCGUAAGUUACGGUAGCUACUGUAACUUACGGUAGCCUAUAUAUCUUUACGCCAUGAACUCCCUGUUUUACGGUGGAAGAAUCAACAUUCAGGGGCUACCGUAAAUUACGGUAGCCACCGUAAUUUACGGUGGACCCUGAACAAAAAUGUAUUUUAAUUAAGUUUUGUUUCUCGGACUAGUUUUAGAUACGUUUUAAACCUCGUAUGACUAAAGCAUUUCAUGUUUAUGAAAUAUAGGUACAUUUUGGAUGCUGGAAGACGAUCAAGCUCAUCGAAGAACCGAACACGAUAAAGAUACAUGCUUCCGCACAUUGCCUCGUCGUAAAUUUUAAACGACAAAUUCGACCACUUAUGUUGAAUAACUUAUGAUUUGUAAAAGUUUUAAUAAACUCGUAUUUUUAUAGUA